GAUGAACGCUGGCGGCGCGCCUAACACAUGCAAGUCGAACGGCACCCCUCCUCGGAGGGAAGCGAGUGGCGAACGGCUGAGUAACACGUGGAGAACCUGCCCCCUCCCCCGGGAUAGCCGCCCGAAAGGACGGGUAAUACCGGAUACCCCGGGGUGCCGCAUGGCCCCCCGGCUAAAGCCCCGACGGGAGGGGAUGGCUCCGCCGCCCAUCAGGUAGACGGCGGGGUGACGGCCCACCGUGCCGACAACGGGUAGCCGGGUUGAGAGACCGACCGGCCAGAUGGGGACGGAGACACGGCCCAGACUCCUACGGGAGGCAGCAGUGGGGAAUCUUGCGCAAUGGGGGGAACCCUGACGCAGCGACGCGGCGUGCGGGACGGAGGCCUUCGGGUCGUAAACCGCCUUCAGCAGGGAAGAGUCAAGACUGUACCUGCAGAAGAAGCCCCGGCUAACUACGUG
rnacentral:rRNA from 1 species